CUGCCAGUAGUGUAUGCUUCUCCUAAAGACUAAGCCAUGCAUGCCUUCGAAUAAGAAGAAGCAAUUCUCUCUGAAUCUGCGAACGGCUCCGCAAACCAGUUGUAAACUAAAGCAAGCUAGUCCGUGGUCUGGCCCUAACGGGUUGGGCUGCGGGUGAUACGGAUAACCCUGGUAAUUCUGAGGCUAAUACGAGAAUGUAGUCCCUGGCUAACCGGUUUACUCCCAUUGACUGGAAGGCUGGGGGGCGUGUGAUCUAUUAUGCAAGACGAGACCAGGAAGGGGUGCACGCUCUGACCACAACAAUGACAGUUCGGACGGACCCUUUCGGGGGCGAGCCAGUUCUGAGUGGCUCUUGCGGGGUGCUUCUGACCUAUCAACUAGACGGCAGCGUAACGGACAUGCCAUGGUUACAACGGGUACAGAGGAUUAGGGUUCGAUCCUGGAGAGUGGGCCUGAGAGAUUGCUCAUACUUCUAAGGAAGGCAGCAGGCGCGCAACGUUCCCCUUGGGCACUGCCCGAGGGCGUUAGGGGACAUAUGAAUGGUUGCCUCUAAGGUGGCCAAUUCAAAUGGGUUUGUUCUAAACAGGCUCUCGAGUAACAAUUAGAG
rnacentral:rRNA from 1 species